rnacentral:tRNA from 1 species
GGAUGUGGCUUAAUCAGUAGGGUGCUCGCCUAGCAUGCGCGGGGUGCUGGGUUCGAUCCUCAGCACCA